UACGGGAGGCAGCAGUGGGGAAUAUUGCACAAUGGGCGAAAGCCUGAUGCAGCUAUGCCGCGUGUAUGAAGAAGGCCUUUAGGGUUGUAAAGUACUUUCAUCGGGGAGGAAAAAACAAAACUAAUAAUUUUAUUUCUUGACGUUACCCGAAAAAGAAGCACCGGCUAACUCCGUGCCAGCAGCCGCGGUAAUACGGAGGGUGCUAGCGUUAAUCAGAAUUACUGGGCGUAAAGAGCACGUAGGUGGUUUUUUUAAGUCAGAUGUGAAAUCCCUGGGCUUAACCUAGGAACUGCAUUUUGAAACUGAAAUACUAGAGUAUCGUAGAGGGAGGUAGAAUUCUAGGUGUAGCGGUGAAAUGCGUAGAUAUCUGGAGGAAUACCUGUGGCGAAAGCGGCCUCCUAAACGAAUACUGACACUGAGGUGCGAAAGCGUGGGGAGCAAACAGGGAUUAGAUACC
rnacentral:rRNA from 1 species